rnacentral:rRNA from 1 species
AACGAACGCUGGCGGCAUGCCUAACACAUGCAAGUCGAACGAGACCUUCGGGUCUAGUGGCGCACGGGUGCGUAACGCGUGGGAACCUGCCUUUAGGUUCGGAAUAACUCAGAGAAAUUUGAGCUAAUACCGGAUAAUGUCUUCGGACCAAAGAUUUAUCGCCUUUAGAUGGGCCCGCGUAAGAUUAGCUAGUUGGUGGGGUAAAGGCCUACCAAGGCGACGAUCUUUAGCUGGUCUGAGAGGAUGAUCAGCCACACUGGGACUGAGACACGGCCCAGACUCCUACGGGAGGCAGCAGUGGGGGAAUAUUGGACAAUGGGCGAAGACCUGAUCCAGCAAUGCCGCGUGAGUGAUGAAGGCCUUAGGGUUGUAAAGCUCUUUACCCGUAGAUGAUAAUGACAGUAUCGGGAGAAUAAGCUCCGGCGUAACUCCGUGCCAGCAGCCGCGGUAAAGUGACUACU